rnacentral:rRNA from 1 species
UACAGAGGGGGCAAGCGUUGUUCGGAAUUACUGGGCGUAAAGGGCGCGUAGGCGGCCGUCUAAGUCAGACGUGAAAUCCCUCGGCUCAACCGGGGAACUGCGUCUGAGACUGAAUGGCUUGAAUUCGGGAGAGGGAUGUGGAAUUCCAGGUGUAGCGGUGAAAUGCGUAGAUAUCUGGAGGAACACCGGUGGCGAAGGCGGCAUCCUGGACCGAGAUUGACGCUGAGGCGCGAAAGCCAGGGGAGCAAACGGG